UGUCAUUCAUAGAGAAAUAUGUGCUAAGUGCUGGUUAAUUUUCUUCUCUGUCAUCUAUUUCUUCAGUUUCAGCAAACAUCAUGAUGUCAAUGAGAACUCACAGGUGCUGCUCCUUGGACAGGACCGGGAUCUGAAGGAAGGAGUUUAGAGAGCUUUGUUCCUACUGGAGUGGUCCACGCAAGUUGCUUCACUUCUCUGAACCUCAGUUGAGUUUAGAAAGUGUCUUCAAUGCCCCAGUUCAGCUUAAUGUAGUCCUUGGAUUGUCAUACUCUCUGCCUAGAUUAAAAACAUCUGAGUCCAAAGCAAAUGCACAGGAAAGGGAAGGAAAUGCUUACUGUUUGAAGAUCUGUACAGGGAUUGGUGGUCCAUUCUUCCAGGGUAAAGGCAUGUUACUACUGCUCCUCAACAGACUGGCAUCAUACGGAAUUGAGGUAGAAGGUAAGACUCGACUGCAGAGGCAGGGCUUGGGCACCAGACCAGAUUGAGGACUAGCUAAAACAGGGAAGAGGAGAAACCACUUCUCUGUAAGACCUGGACACCAGUUUGCUAAGUUAGUUUGCCAUUGCCAUGGCAACACCUGGAAGUUACUGUCCCUUGCCAUGGCAGUGACUCAAUGAUCUGUGUAUUAGUCUAAUACAGUUAAUGAAGACGUACAUGAGACUAGUUAAUUUAUAAAGGAGGUUUAAUGGACUCACAGUUGCACACG
rnacentral:lncRNA from 1 species